rnacentral:lncRNA from 1 species
AUGUCUGCCAUUUUAAAUUUUCAGAGGCUGCUGACUGUAAUCCUGCUGCUUGUAUCCAAUCCCUGGCACCCAGCAUCCUGGACAGAAAUAAAACUGGACAAUUGGGAAUAUUUUUGGAAGUGUGCCCGAAUUGGUGAACGCAAGAGUCCUUAUGUCGCCGUAUGCUGUGUAGUGGUGGCCCUCAGCAUCCUCUUCACACAGUAG